rnacentral:misc_RNA from 1 species
UUUAAUGAUGAUGGGGAUUUUGGAGAUUACGAUGAGGAUGUACAGCUCCCUCUUCUGAUUAAGCUGAAGA